rnacentral:rRNA from 1 species
UACGUAGGGUGCGAGCGUUGCCCGGAAUUAUUGGGCGUAAAGAGCUUGUAGGCGGUUUGUCGCGUCUGCUGUGAAAAUCCGGGGCUCAACCCCGGACUUGCAGUGGGUACGGGCAGACUAGAGUGUGGUAGGGGAGACUGGAAUUCCUGGUGUAGCGGUGAAAUGCGCAGAUAUCAGGAGGAACACCGAUGGCGAAGGCAGGUCUCUGGGCCACUACUGACGCUGAGAAGCGAAAGCAUGGGGAGCGAACAGG